rnacentral:rRNA from 1 species
UACAGAGGGGGCAAGCGUUGUUCGGAAUUACUGGGCGUAAAGCGCACGUAGGCGGCUUUGUAAGUUAGAGGUGAAAGCCCGGAGCUCAACUCCGGAACUGCCUUUAAGACUGCAUCGCUUGAACGUCGGAGAGGUAUGUGGAAUUCCGAGUGUAGAGGUGAAAUUCGUAGAUAUUCGGAAGAACACCAGUGGCGAAGGCGACUUACUGGACGACUGUUGACGCUGAGGUGCGAAAGCGUGGGGAGCAAACAGG